UGGGGAAUAUUGGACAAUGGGCGCAAGCCUGAUCCAGCCAUGCCGCGUGAGUGAUGAAGGCCCUAGGGUUGUAAAGCUCUUUCACCGGUGAAGAUAAUGACGGUAACCGGAGAAGAAGCCCCGGCUAACUUCGUGCCAGCAGCCGCGGUAAUACGAAGGGGGCUAGCGUUGUUCGGAUUUACUGGGCGUAAAGCGCACGUAGGCGGACUAUUAAGUCAGGGGUGAAAUCCCGGGGCUCAACCCCGGAACUGCCUUUGAUACUGGUAGUCUUGAGUUCGGGAGAGGUGAGUGGAAUUCCGGGUGUAGAGGUGAAAUUCGUAGAUAUUCGGAGGAACACCAGUGGCGAAGGCGGCUCACUGGCUCGAUACUGACGCUGAGGUGCGAAAGCGUGGGGAGCAAACAGG
rnacentral:rRNA from 1 species